rnacentral:rRNA from 1 species
AUUGAACGCUGGCGGCAGGCUUAACACAUGCAAGUCGAGCGGAGAUGAGGUGCUUGCACCUUAUCUUAGCGGCGGACGGGUGAGUAAUGCUUAGGAAUCUGCCUAUUAGUGGGGGACAACAUUCCGAAAGGAAUGCUAAUACCGCAUACGUCCUACGAGAGAAAGCAGGGGAUCUUCGGACCUUGCGCUAAUAGAUGAGCCUAAGUCGGAUUAGCUAGUUGGUGGGGUAAAGGCCUACCAAGGCGACGAUCUGUAGCGGGUCUGAGAGGAUGAUCCGCCACUGGGACUGAGACACGGCCCAGACUCCUACGGGAGGCAGCAGUGGGGAAUAUUGGACAAUGGGGGGAACCCUGAUCCAGCCAUGCCGCGUGUGUGAAGAAGGCCUUAUGGUUGUAAAGCACUUUAAGCGAGGAGGAGGCUACUGAGACUAAUACUCUUGGAUAGUGGACGUUACUCGCAGAAUAAGCACCGGCUAACUCUGUGCCAGCCGCCGCGGUAAAAC